rnacentral:rRNA from 1 species
AGGAUAAACGCUGGCGGCGUGCCUAACACAUGCAAGUCGAACGCCCUACGCAAGUAGGGAGUGGCGGACGGGUGAGGAACACGUGGGUUAUCUGCCUUUCGGUGAGGAAUACCAGCGAGAAAUCGCUGACAAUACCGCAUACGGUUCUUUCGAGAGGAAGAACGAAAGUCGUAAGACGCCGGGAGAUGAGCCUGCGCCCGAUUAGUUUGUUGGUGGGGUAAAAGCCUACCAAGACUGCAAUCGGUAGCUGGUCUGAGAGGACGAUCAGCCACACUGGGAUUGAGAACGGCCCAGACUCCUACGGGGGGCAGCAGUGAGGAAUUUUCGUCAAUGGGGGAAACCCUGAACGAGCAACGCCGCGUGCAGGAGAAGGUUUUCGGAUCGUAAACUGCUUUUCUGUGGGAAGAGAACGGACGGUACCACAGGAAGAAGCCCCGGCUAACUACGUGCCAGCAGCCGC